rnacentral:rRNA from 1 species
CAAGUCGUGGGGCAGCACAGGUAGCAAUACUGGGUGGCGACCGGCAAACGGGUGCGGAACACGUACGCAACCUUCCUUUAAGCGGAGAAUAGCACAGGGAAACUUGGAUUAAUACUCCAUAAGAUUAUGGUGUGGCAUCACACAGUAAUUAAAGCUCCGGCACUUAAAGAUGGGCGUGCGGCUGAUUAGGUAGUUGGCGGGGUAACGGCCCACCAAGCCAACGAUCAGUAACUGGUGUGAGAGCACGACCAGUCACACGGGCACUGAGACACGGGCCCGACUCCUACGGGAGGCAGCAGUAAGGAAUAUUGGUCAAUGGACGCAAGUCUGAACCAGCCAUGCCGCGUGGAGGAUGAAGGCCCUCUGGGUUGUAAACUUCUUUUAUUUGGGAAGAAACCUGGAUUUUCUAAUUCAGUUGACGGUACCAGAUGAAUAAGCACCGGCUAACUCCGUGCCAGCAGCCGCGGUAAUACGGAGGGUGCAAGCGUUAUCCGGAUUCACUGGGUUUAAAGGGUGCGUAGGUGGGCAGGUAAGUCAGUGGUGAAAUCUCCGGGCUUAACCCGGAAACUGCCGUUGAUACUAUCUGUCUUGAAUGUAGUGGAGGUGAGCGGAAUAUGUCAUGUAGCGGUGAAAUGCUUAGAUAUGACAUAGAACACCCAUUGCGAAGGCAGCUCGCUACACUAUUAUUGACACUGAGGCACGAAAGCGUGGGGAUCAAACAGGAUUAGAUACCCUGGUAGUCCACGCCCUAAACGAUGGAUACUCGACAUCAGCGAUACACAGUUGGUGUCUGAGCGAAAGCAUUAAGUAUCCCACCUGGGAAGUACGACCGCAAGGUUGAAACUCAAAGGAAUUGACGGGGGUC